CCUCCCCCUAACCAGAACCAAAAUCCCUCAAAGGACACGACAGCUCAUUCAAACGCGUCACGACUCGUCCAGUAGGAGAAGAUGCUGAUAUGUGAAGGACAGGCCCAUCAGCCACAGGGUCCCAGAGAGGGGGAUUGGGGAAAAGAGGAGGCCAGGAUGGGCAAGAGGAGAGCGGACAAGACAAAAGGAGAAGAGAGAGGUGCAUCCCAGGUCCAUGCCCAGGAAUAACUCACAGGAGCUACCAGGCCCCCUGCCCAGCCUGUGAGGCCCUUCAUGGCCUGGCCUGGAAUAUAUUUCUGAAUUGUUGUCUCUUUACCAACCUGCAACCUGCUGACUGUUCCCACCUCACAUUUAAAGACUAAAGGGAAGUGAGUGUUUGCUGUUCAGGCUACUCGGCUGUGGAGUGACCUGCCUGAAGAACUCCAGUAGCUUCUUUUAAAGCACUGUUGAAGGCUUAUUUUUAUUGAACGACAUUAUAAUUUUUAUUAUAUAUAUAUUUUUUAUUUUUAUUUGUAUUCAGAUUUAUUCAUUUAUUUACUUAUUUAUUAACCUUUGUUCUAUGUUAAGUUUUCAUUCACCCAUUGUUUUUACAUUUUGUCCUUGGUGUCCGUUUGUUCUUCCUCUUUUAUUCCUUAU